rnacentral:rRNA from 1 species
AUUGAACGCUGGCGGCAUGCUUUACACAUGCAAGUCGAACGGUAACAGGGUGCUUGCACCGCUGACGAGUGGCGAACGGGUGAGUAAUGCGUCGGAACGUGCCGAGUAGUGGGGGAUAACGCAGCGAAAGUUGUGCUAAUACCGCAUACGUACUGAGGUAGAAAGUGGGGGACCUUCGGGCCUCACGCUAUUCGAGCGGCCGACGUCUGAUUAGCUAGUAGGUGAGGUAAAGGCUCACCUAGGCGACGAUCAGUAGCGGGUCUGAGAGGAUGAUCCGCCACACUGGGACUGAGACACGGCGCAGACUCCCACGGGAGGCAGCAGUGGGGAAUUUUGGACAAUGGGCGAAAGCCUGAUCCAGCCAUGCCGCGUGUCUGAAGAAGGCCUUCGGGUUGUAAAGGACUUUUGUCAGGGAGGAAAUCCCUAGUGCUAAUAACACUGGGGGAUGACAGUACCUGAAGAAUAAGCACCGGCUAACUACGUGCCAGCAGCCGCCGUAA